rnacentral:lncRNA from 1 species
GCAAAAAUGAAUUCCUGUGUUCUAAAUCAUGCACUUGUGUCUGGGAUUAGGGUAAGAGAGUUCAAAGUGACUAAAAUGGUGAACGUGCCAACCCCUGCCCAGCUUGCUGCCCUCAUGAUGCCCUACGGCAUACUGCCCCCGGGGUGCCAGGGGGUGCCACUCGCGCCCCUCUCAGUUCCUCAAAGGCCCAGCGAACACCUCAGCAUGUCAGGAGACGGACCUCCGUUGCCCUACCUACCCCUACACAGCCUCUCUAGACUUCACAGUUGACACCAGCGGAGGCUUUCUGAGUUCCUGUUAAGCCGACCAUCACCCCAGACAAUUGUCUUUCCGCGUCGGAGAGGCAUCCUCGCCCCUGUAGCUGAAGUGCCACUGUGUGUGUGUGUGUGUGUGUGUGUGUGUGUGUGUGUGUGUGUGUGUGUGUGUAUAUACUCUCCCAACUAAAGCAAAUCCUGUUAACACUUCCCAUGGCC